rnacentral:rRNA from 1 species
GCCCCCCGGCCGGGAUAGCCCAGGGAAACCUGGAUUAAUACCGGAUGGAGACGGGACCCGCGAAGGCGGGACCCGGGAAAGGCGCUGCGGCGCCGCCGGGGGAUGAGUCUGCGUCCCAUUAGCUAGACGGCGGGGUAACGGCCCACCGUGGCGACGAUGGGUAGCCGGCCUGAGAGGGUGACGGCCACAUUGGAACUGAGACACGGUCCAGACUCCUACGGGAGGCAGCAGCUAAGAAUCUUCCGCAAUGGGCGAAAGCCUGACGGAGCGAACCGCCGCGUGAACGAAGAAGGCCGUGAGGUUGUAAGGUUCUUUUCGGGAGGGGGAACAACCGUGGCAGGGAAUGGCCGCGGGCUGACGUGAAUCCCGGAAUAAGCCCCGGCUAACUACGUGCCAGCAGCUGC